AUGAUCUUUUUUAUGGUUAUGCCGGCGAUGAUAGGUGGAUUUGGUAAUUGGUUUGUUCCGAUUUUGAUAGGUGCACCUGACAUGGUAUUUCCACGAUUAAAUAAUAUAUCAUUCUGGUUGUUGCCACCAAGUCUCUUGCUCCUAUUAAGCUCAGCCUUAGUAGAAGUGGGCAGCGGCACUGGGUGGACAGUCUAUCCGCGCUUAAGUGGUAUUACUAGCCAUUCUGGAGGAGCAGUUGAUUUAGCAAUUUUUAGUCUUCAUCUAUCAUGUAUUUCAUCAAUUUUAGGUUCUAUCAAUUUUAUAACAACUAUCUUCAACAUGCAUGGACCUGGAAUGACUAUGCAUAGAUUACCACUUUUUGUGUGGUCCGUUCUAGUGACAUCAUUCCUACUUUUAUUAUCACUUCCGGUACUGGCGGAGGGCAAUUACAAUGUUAUUAACCGAUCGAAACUUUAA
rnacentral:rRNA from 1 species